AACGUAGGAGGCAAGCGUUAUCCGGAGUUACUGGGCGUAAAGCGCGUGCAGGUGGAUUGGUAAGUUACUUAUGAAAGCUCCUGGCUAAACUAGGAGAGGUUGAGUGAUACUGCCAGUCUUGAAUAGAGGAGAGGUUGACGGAAUUCCGCGUGUAGUGGUGAAAUGCGUAGAGAUGCGGAAGAACACCAGUGGCGAAGGCGGUCAACUGGCCUCAUAUUGACACUCAGACGCGAAGGCAUGGGUAGCGAACGGG
rnacentral:rRNA from 1 species